rnacentral:lncRNA from 1 species
UAUGAUUGCAAAAAUCCUGCACAACUCAGAUGUUAGAAAUAAUCGAUUAUGCGUAGUAAAUAAUCGAUUAUAUGACACCAGUGUUAAAGAAUUCCCCCGGUUUUGGGGCGAUACCUGCAAAAGAAAAUUAGGCGCCUCCGACGCUCAAUUCAGUAAUUAUUCAAAAAAUAAAUGCAACCUAAGUGUAUGCAUUAGAUCAACGUAG